rnacentral:rRNA from 1 species
UACGUAGGACCCAAGCGUUAUCCGGAAUCACUGGGCGUAAAGCGUACGUAGGCGGCGCGUUAAGUGUAAUGCGAAAUUCUGGGGCUCAACCCUAUGAACUGUGUUGCAUACUGGCGUGCUUGAGGAUGGCAGAGGCAAGUGGAAUUGGUAGUGUAGCAGUGAAAUGCGUAGAUAUUACCAGGAACACCAAUGGCGAAGGCAGCUUGCUGGGCCAUAUCUGACGCUGAGGUACGAAAGCGUGGGGAGCGAA